UUCCCAGCAACCACAUAGCAGUUUACAACUUUCUCUAACUCCAGGUCCAGAGAAUUCAACAUCCUUACAUAACCAUACAUGCAAGCAAAACACCAAUGCACAUAACAAAAUUAUUUUUAAAAUUUGAAAUUCAAAGAGUAAUCCAGGCAGGCUCACCUAGCACAGCACAGUUUUGAGCCCGGGAGCGGCGUGAAGUCAGUAACUGUGCCCCCAGCGUUUAUCCCUAAAUCACUACAGAGUACUGUUGGUUUUCAUGGUCAUAACAUGGUGAAUGUGGAAUUCUUGUUCCUAAGACCCCCAUCUAAUUAUGGGCUGAACUGUUCCCUCUGGGCUGCAGGUCCUGGGACAUCUCAGACUCAGUGUCACAGAAUGAAUGCUUCCUUAGAGCACACCUGCAGGCAGGAAGAAAGGGCAGAAAAUGCAGUUGGCAGUAAAGCUGGGAGCCCUGGCUCUGAGGCUGGCCUGGCCUCCACCUAAGUCUAGCGCCCUCUGGUCGCAGCCUGCCCUGAGUUACGGUAAUUAGCUGGAUGGGAAUUUUCACAGGCACUUCCCCUGGGAACCAUUUCACCAAAGAGUAACCCUGGUGUCUGGACCAUACAGACCCAUAAAGUCAUCGCUAGCCGGGAUUUCCAUGUGAUGAAACAGCAACAGAAACCACUGCCUCUAGUCUUUCAGGGCCCAGAGAAUAGAGCCCACAUUGUGGAAGGCCCAGCAUGCAGGUCUCUCUCUCUCAAGAGCCCUGGAAAUUCCUCCUGGACUCCAGCAUCCAAGGGCUGACGUCUCAUUCACAGCAGUGAGAGCCAGGAACUGUGACAGUAGGGUGGGGGUCAGUUGAUGUGGGGGUAGAGCCUGCAGGAGCUGCUGAACCUGGAGCAGAAGGCAAACUCUGGGCUUCUUAGAUGGAGUAGCUGAGUAGAUAGAAAUCCAGGCAUGUGGAAAGAACUGGGCAGUCUAGACUCUAGGAUUCUACUUUAAAAACAUGACAUGGUCUUAAGUCGUUGACCUGCAAUGGAAUGUGAUGUUUUAAUCAUUCCCAAACUUCCCAGUGACCUGGGAGAUGUGACAUAUGGCUCUGUAGACACCCCACCCUAAACCCAGACCUGGUGAGCCAAAGCCAGGUGUAGAGGCUCCAUCCUCCCAUAGUGCCUGGUGACUCCAGUACUGGCAGCCCAGCCCAGGCCUGGGUGCUGGCCAGCUACUGCUUUGUUUUGGGUUUCCCAGACUAGUGUUGAUGGCCUGAUGGCUAUUGAAUCAGAUGCAGUUAGCUCCACCCACAUCCAGCCCCUCUCUCCCUGUUCAAGAAACCACUAGGCACAUUCCCAGAUAACCAGUUGAAAAUAAAGAGACUGGGUCGCUGCCUGAGCCAAAUGCUGCUGUGAUGUUCUUCCUAGAUGGCAGGUACAUCCUCCUAAGUGGAUACCUUGAAAGAGUGCUUUCCUAAGUGGCAGGAGUGUCCUGCAAAUUAAUGUUUUUCAUAAGGCCCAAGGCUCAGACAUCUGUCUGAAUGAUCCAGUCCUCAUAAAGCGGGGGAUUGGUUCUGGAGAUCCCAGGAGCCUGGGCUUUCUGGAGAGAUUUAUAGCACUUCCCACUCAUGUUGAGGCCAGGAAAAACAUGACAGCUCCCUCAGCACUUUUGGGGUUUGUUCCUGUGGGGGUGUUGAGGGCAGGAGAGGUGUGCUGAGCCAACACCACUUUGAAAGAAAACCAGCUAGAUUUGUUUUCCAAAGCCUCAGAGAAAGCCCCAUGCUCUGCUGAGGGCGGAAGGCAAUAGUGUCCUCUGCCCGUCCCUCCCUGGGGAGCCUCUCAGGCUUGGCUUCUUCACCCCAGUGGAUUCUGUGGUGUGGGAGCGGGGCCAGAGCUGGCUGGAGCUCACAGCCUAUUCAUGCCUGCCCUGGCCUCUGGGGCGACAGACCCAGACCCAGAUGCAGACGGCCAGCACUAGAGGAACCCUGUGCUGAACCUGAGAUGCGCUUAUUGUCUCCCUGCUGAGGUGCACAGCAGAGGGCCUGUGUGUUCCAACCAUGCACACAGCCGUGCAGACCUUACGUGCCAUGCUAAGAAAGUUCCAUUUAGUAGAGUUGAUGGAAAAGAAGAGUCCAUCUUAAAGAAGAGAGGAAAGUCAGUCAAAGAAUGGGUCUGCUUCUGGACUGCGCUAUCUCAGGAAAUGUUAGAUUGCAGCAAGAAGGGAGAUGGAUAGGUCUGAGAGUGGAGGGCCUGGGGGCCUUAUCAGUUAUAAGGGUGAAGACACCCCCCCCAGUCCUACCCCCAUCCCACCCCCAAACUGUAGGAAACAGAUUUGACUUUCUUGGUGAAGUUCCUUGUGUUGGAAGGGAAGUGACUUGAUGUGGAAGGAUUUUCAGUGUUGUUAUGCGGAACACACAAAUCCCUCCCAGUGAGAGAAAGGAGCCCAGUCCUCCAUAUAAGUAAACCUUGUAGACACUGGAAUGUUUAUGUUUGGCCUAAACUGGCUCUGGUUUUUUACACAGCUGUAAAGCGUAUUUAACUCCCAAAUAUAAAGCACUUCUUGACUACCGUUUCAUAGCUUCAUAAACCGAGGCUCCGCACGGAGGUGCCUCGCUGCUGUCAUCCCUAUCUUUUUACGCAAGUCUGUUUCCUGAUAUUGUUAUUCCAGUGGAAAAAAAACAAACCCAGUAUAAACUACCUUUUUUACAAGCAGCCAUAAGAAGGCCCAAAGACAAUAAGGAGCCUCUGCAUUUAUAUUUUUAACUUAAGAUUACAGAGCUAACUAGCAAGGAAGCAAAGUCGCUUUAAUUAUGAAUGUUUUUCAUUGUGGUCGGAGUGUAAGGCAGUAACAGAUGUUCAUUUUCCCAGCUCAACUGUUUUUAAUUCCUUCUCAAACACGGAGAGAGAAAUCUUUAAACAUUUGCCAAAGUUCAAUUAACAUGCCUGGCUGAUGGUGGAAAAGGCUCCACUUUGUUUCUCCUCGGCCGUCUACCUGCCCUGGCUGCCCGUGCCACAGAGCACAGGGCGAGGGUCCAGCUGGCAUGGGGUUUAUGACCACAGAGUUAAUUUGCAGAGAAAGCCUCUGGCGGGGAGGGGUCUGCUCACCAUUUUAUAUAUUUACCUAUUUACCUUUUUCAGUUAUAAAUAAAAUUACACCAUAAAACAUUGUGGCGUAAUGGCAGGAAGCCCAGUGUGCGUUGUUGUUGCUCUGCAAGUCCUUAAUGGCUUGCUUUCUGUGUGUGCAGAGUCGUAGAAAUCAUGUGUAAGAAUAUGUUUACGGCUGAAGCUGUGUGACUUGGUUUAGCAUGUUCUUCCUGUGUCGUGUGGAGCAGAUGGCUGUUCGUUAUUAAGAGGCCCUUUUCGAUGGAAGACAGGAUUCUAGGAGGGAAGAGUUAAUGUAAGAAUAUCCAGUAACUUCCAGAGACUGUGGACCUACUGUGGCUGUGAAGACUGGCCAGCAAGGUGGGCAGUGUGGUUGCAACGGUUUGCCUCUGCACCCGCAACACACUUUCUCUGUGUAUUUAGUGAGUCCAGCUGCACAGAGAAGAAGCAAAAGGUAAACGGUAGAUGAUGGCGGACGAGACAGGCACAUACACAGAAAGGUCAAUCCAGUCAGGCCGCUAAGGCAGAAGAAAUGCUCUCUGCCCUAACCGUGAGCUUCCGAGCAGAGAAUCCACCCCCCAAAUGAUUGGGACUGUGAUAUAAUUAGCAUUUGGUGUCAUUUUUAUAAAAAUGUAAUCCUAGAAGCCCCUUCUCCUGGAUGUUGAAGCUGACAGGACCCCCCUGAGUUGGCUGAGAUGACUGGCCACUUUUUUAACAGAAGGAAACAUGAGCCACUUGGCCUGUGCUGAGUUUCCACCAAGAUCUCCCGAGGAGCUGUCCUUGAUCCUCACUAAGGCUCUGAGAAUCUCAAGCUUCUAUAGUCUCUGACACUCAGCAUUUCUCCUGGGAAAUCUGUCCCUAAAUUACAACCUAAGGGGCCCACAAAGGGUGGUUGGUUUACCUUGAGUCAAACAGAACAUUCUCCUUCUGGGGCAAGACAAAAACACGGGAAGGGACAGCCACUAGAGCUGAGGGCUACAGAUGUCCUAUAGGUGUCAGCUAAGAAGCCUCUGCCUCCCUAAGAUGACCUGGGUGUGUCUGGGCGAGGCUGGUUUAAAUGCAUGGAUCAUUUAUGCUUAACGCUGGUCACAGAUCAAUGAGCAAGAGGAUAGGGCAGUGCUGAUGGCUCUGUGGUGUGAGCACUUAGAAUUGACACCUCUUGCUAUCUUAUUUCCGUGGGGUCAAAAAGACCUCCAGGGGGCUGGUGAGAUGGCUCAGUGGGUAAGAGCACCCGACUGCUCUUCCGAAGGUCCAGAGUUCAAAUCCCAGCAACCACAUGGUGGCUCACAACCAUCUGUAACAAGAUCUGACUCCCUCUUCUGGAGUGUCUGAAGACAGCUACAGUGUACUUACAUAUAAUAAAUAAAUAAAUCUUAAAAAAAAAAAAAGACCUCCAGGUAAAGAGCGGGGAUUCUGAGGGGUGUGGCACCCCUCUUCUCCGUGGAGUCAGGAAGCUCUCCUGCACUUGCAAGGCUUGGCUAGGGCUAUGUAAGUGCAGCCCACGCUGCUGAGGAAGCAUUGCUAACUCUGCCACAGAUUUUGAAAGGAAUCAGUCACUAUCUGAAUGUCAGAUUCAGAAAGAUGAGUAGUUGUUCUCUAGUAGACAACGUCCAGAGGACAGGGUGUGGUGGUGAGAGCCAGCAGCCUGGCUGUGGAUGCUGCUUUUCUGUUGGUUUGAUGUAGGAAACUGAGUGGCAGGACAUUGGAGGUGUGUUGACAUCCUGCUGCCAACUUCUGCCCCGGCCUAGACCUUUGCUAUGUAUCACUAGGGUGUGAUUGCCAGGGACAGUUCACUUCACCAGGCCUUGUCUUGUCUUCUGUAGGACAGAAGGUGGAGUAGGCCCUCAGGCCCCGUUCCCACUGUUCUGUGGUGGCAGCAUAGAGGGAAGCAUGGGUGUUUUAACUCUACCCCCCAGGCCUUCGGAAGAUCCAACCAAGGCAAUCACUAGACUCAUAGGCAUGCAGCAGAGAACAGAAAGUAGAAUCCAGACCUCUUAGAACUUAAAACUGAUCUGGAAGAUAGACAUGGAAGGCUGUUCUAUGGCCAGAGGUGACUGGACUGUGGAGAGGACAUCACCUUCAACGUCACAGGAUUUCAUGUGAGGUUAGGAGGGUAGUGCCAGAAAAGGGGUCCAAGAAGAAUGAGACACUGAAAUGUAAACCAACUUUGCAUGGAAGAGUACACUUGAUAUCAUGUUCCCAGCUCCAAGAGGGAUGGAAGUUCCAGGAGGGCAUUGAAGUGACGCCUGUGUUGCUGGGUUUCUAUUUGUGUUGCUCCUGGACAAAGGCUCCUUCCUACCCUAGGAUGAUGGUGGUGGGUGGGUAUCUUCCUGGCCUGCCCUCUCCUUGUGCAAUUCCCAGAAAAAGGCGAAAGCAGCCCUCAGGUCUUCCGUGGGAUUGCCACACAGGGAAGUGGCCCCCCAGAAGCAUGGGUCAAGCUGUUAUCUGUCUUAUAAACAAGGAGAGGAAACAGGGUGGGGGACAAGGCACAGCUGCCAUGUUUCCACCUCUAAUUUGGUGCCAGUGGGACCAGCUGUCCCAGGUCACCAAAGACUCUGGCCUGGCCUUGUCCCUUUGUAUAAAAACUCCCAUGCAAUCUAGCUGCAGGACUUGGAGCAAGACAGGAUUUAAGCACUGGUGACUUUGGAGUUCUUCUUGUAAAUAUGUCAUUCAUCCCGUUUCCACGUAAGCCUUUGGGUGGUUGAUGGGGCUUCCCUUAUUUUUAUUGUCACUUGUUUGUGGAACUGAUAGGUGCCGUUUCUCAGGCCACAGCUCUUCCUGUUCACUGCCUUUAAUAGAGGUCUAAUAAUAAACACUUAGACUUGUUAGACCCUGGGAAACUUGGUGCUUAUCUUCACGUGGCAUUGAUGUGGCAUCCUCUGUCUGCUGGGCUAUUUUUUAACAAACUGAGAAGCCAUGGCCUGAGAAUUCAGAAUUUGCCAUACAACUUGGCAUGUCUCCACAGUGAGCCUGAGAGGAUGGAGUGAGGGCAGAAGGGAGAAAAGACCCAGCCUCCCUGUUCUGAAGAAGAAAGGGUCUACUGCAUACCUGUGUCUAUACUGCAUAUAUACCUGUGUCUAAACUGCAUAUAUACCUGUGUCUAUACUGCAUAUAUACCUGUGUCUAUACUGCAUAUAUACCUGUGUCUAUACUGCAUAUAUACCUGUGUCUAGACUGCAUAUAUACCUGUGUCUAGACUGCAUAUAUACCUGUGUCUAUUACUGCAUACCUGUGUCUAUACUGGACCCUGCUGUCUGCCACAUCUAACGCUGCUGUGACCACUGCCAGUUGCCAACAUUGCGCAGUUCCUUUGCAGGGGCUGCAGUUGGGCUUGACGGUCAUCAUCGGGUCCCUGAGAUCUGCAGUGUAAAGAGGUCUGCAGAAUUCUGAUCCACAGACCAUCUCAUCAGAGCUGAUGGUUCUAUGCCAUAGCUAUUGCAGCAUCUCCCGAGUCACUUUUGACAUCACCUUGCCCCAUGUGAAGGAAUAUAACCUUCUAAGAAGUAGCCCCAUCUUUCACCCUGCAGUAGAGCAAGUACCAGGGUUGUCUUAGUUAGGGCUUGCUGCUCUGAACAGACACCAUGACCAUGACAACUCUGGCUUACAGGCUCAGAGGUUCAGUCCAUUAUCAUCAAGGUGGGAGUAUGGCAACAUCCAGGCAGGCAUGGUGCAGGCAGAGCUGAGAGGUCUACAUCUUCAUUUGAAGGCUGCUAGCAGAAUACUGACUUCCAGGCAGCUAGGAUGAGAAUCUUAAAGCCCACACCCACAGUGCCACGCCUACUCCAACAGGGCCACACCUUCUAAUAGAGCCACUCCCUGGGUCUAGCAUACACAAACCAUCACAAUGGUGGUUUGGACCAAGGGAAAUGAUGGAGCCAGGUGGCCAUGCUGGAGUAAGGCUUCUCUUAGGCUUUGACAAGGAUGGUCACACCAGGGCAAUGGCUCCAGAGUAGCAUCAGGUAGCAGGAAUGGAGCAAGCAUCAGUUUGAGCAAACACAGGCAAGGACCUGGAGAAGGGGUGUGAGUGUCAAUAGGAUAAAGUCCUGGGCGUGGCAGAGACAUACUCCACAGCAGAACAGCAGCCUGUUCCUGGUAGCCGGGAGUCCCCGCUGUGCCCAUGUCCUUGGAGUUGAUUAACUGUGCCACCCACUGGGGCUCCCAGUGUCCCUAGAUUUAAAAACGGUAAAAAACAAAACAAAACAGCAUCUGCCAUCCCACUUGACUUAGUUUGAGGAAAUAUAUGGGGCUUCCCAGUGAACACUAGCAGUGGGUGCUGAGGGUCUGAGCACCGAGUCACUCAGCAAAUCCUCAGGUGUGGAAACCACAGCAAGAGGAGAAAGUGGCAAAGAAAAGUAGUGAGCUGCCCAAGGCCUCAGAGCUGAAUCUAAUGAAGCCAGCCUUUGAAGUCUAGUUUUUAGACCCCAAAGAAACAGAAACACCAAGCAAAAGCACCCUCAGUCCCUGGGCUUCUUCCUGAGACCCAGCCUUCUGACCUGUCCUGACGUCAGACGUGCUUUUCAGAUCAAGGCUGUGCAUGGGUGGGGCUGCCGCGGCCUCCCCUCUUGGCAGUGGCAUCAUGGCGCCUGUUGUAAGUUGCCCUUGCCUUUAGAGCACGCUUGCAGCAGUCUCUCAAGUGGGAAAUUCUUGCCCUUCCAUUUCUCCCAGUCACUGUUUCACAGUUCGUCAUCCUCGUGACAUUUGACAGAAACACAGCGCGGCUGAUCAGGAAGCCUGCCUGGUACAUGCAGUGUAUAAAACAACAUCACUGGUGCUGUUAGGAAGCCAAAUGGGCUUCUUAAACAUCAGAAGCACUCUCAUAAAACCCAUUUUUCAUGCAGCACAGGCUGUAGUUUCCACAUGGGACAAAGUGUGAAACUAAGCUUUUAUGGGCGCACUCUGAGAUCGGCGUGAACUUUCAGUGACUCUCACGACAUUAUUCCCUAGAGAAGCAACUUAUUUUCUGUUGUGGCACAUUUUCGUGUCCUGGGCUCUGUCUAGGGAGAGACAAUUACCCCUUUGCUGUAGAAACAGUGCUUGCUUGCUGACAGACUCUAAUUAUCUCUCCUUCUGGCCACUGCAGUCCUUUCUGUCACCCUCCCUUCACAGACCCAUUGUGAGCAUUCUCUCAGUGUGCCUAAUAUUGGACUAGCUUAGAGGUGAGUCCGCCCACGUUGUUUCAUAAUUAGGAAGGCCAACACCAUACCUAUAACAAGCUUUGGCCAGAGGGUUAGGACUUCAGAAAAAAAGACACAACUCCAGCCGUGUGCAAUGCUCAGGCUUGCAGUCAGUCAGAGUGAACCCUCAGACUGGAGAUGGUAGCCCAGGCCCGUAAUCCCAGCACUUGAAAGGUAGAGGCAGGAAGAUCAAUUCAAGGUCAGUCUCCACCUCACAGUGAGUUCAGGGCCAGUUCCGGCUACAUUUUAUCUUUAAAAAAAAAGAAGUAAUCCCUCUUCUUUAACUCUAGUCCACAUCUGUCCUUCCGUGCUUCAUGGUGAGAUAGUGAACUGUGCCCCAGGACCUGCUCUCUCAGCGGAGAGAUGACAGACAGUUACCUUUCUUACCAGCAGAUCUCCAACAGUGAGUGAAUUAAUGAGAAUAUAUCCUGGACGUAAUGUAUCUAUAAUUAGAUAUUUACAAUAAUUUAAUCUAAUCUAACAGAACCCUAAAUCAGCAUUAUAUUUGUCAGAAGCUUCCCAAAUCCCCUCUACUAGAAAACUAAACCGUAUCUUCUGCACCUCUUUAUUUGGGGGAGAUAAUUCUAACCAAAUCUGUCCCUCCUCACACACACACACACACACACACACACACACACGUACACAUGCAUGCACACACAUGACUUGAGGCACGAGACGGGCAUUUAUGUUAGACAGAUGCUUUAGUAGAGGCCUCUUAAGGAGACCAUUUCUUCUCAGCAUUGUGGGCCAUUUGUCAUUUCUUCCAAGCCCAGUGCUUUUUAAAUGUUGCUGAAAACAGUAAUGCUUGCAGCACUGAUAGAAUAUGGAACUGUGUGGCAGACAUGAACUGAACACCUUAUAUGCAAUACUUCGCCAGGCUUCACAGCAGCCCAGUGAGCUUAGCCUCAGCAGCUUCUCCAGUGUCCAGUGAGGAAAGGGAGGGCUGGAAGGGUAGAGUGUCAGAGCCGAAGCGAACAGAUAGUGGUGGGAGCCCAAAUUUCACCCAGGCUAUCCCUGAGGCCCUGUGCCCAGCUCCCAUACUGUGGUUUGGUUUUUGCAGUAUUGCAGUAGUACUAACCUGGUUUCAUGGAAGGUGUGUGUGUGUGUGUGUGUGUGUGUGUGUGUGUGUGUGUAUGUGUGUGUUUUAUAAAUGUGUCUGUGUGUGGUGUGUAUGUGUUUGUGUGUGGUGUGUGUGUCUGUAUGUGUGUGUAUGCAUGUGCCUCUGUGUAUGUGGGUGUGUCUGUGUUUGUGCACAUAUGCUCUCCCUGCCUUGUGUAUACCCUAGCACAUUUCACUCCCUAAAAUCAUCCUUUGUUCUGUCAUAUAAAACUCUGGUGUCCCUUUAACUAAUCAUUGUUACCUCAGUGGACUAUCACGGCGCACCGUCCUUCAGUGCAGACAGGCUCCACAUGGAGCCUUUUGUCCCCAGGAGUGAGCUGAAGAUCAGCUCAGACCAUGAAUGAGCUGAAGGCACAAGACCAGUCCUGGAAGUCAUUGUAUACAUUACACGUUCAUUCAUUCAUUCAUUCAUUCAUUCAUUCAUUCAUACCACACCCUCCUCCCAGUUAGGCCCCAGCUCCUUUGCUGUACCAUGCGGCUGCAUUUCUCUGGGUCUGGCCUGAUAUGCUAACCCCAUGAACCACCUCACCCUCCCUGGCAUAAGCUGGCUGUAAGGCUGGAAACUGUAUUGGAGAGAGAACCCAUAUAUUUCAACAGCCUGGGGACAAAACAAGUAAAGGACCCUAAUUCCCUGAGGAAUCUUCCUCUUACUUUAGUACUGGGGACUGAAUUUAGGGCUUUUAUGCAUGCAAGGCAGGCACUCGCUCCUCUGCUACCAGCCAGCCCUCUUCUCACUUUUUGAUUUAUCUUGUUUUUAAUCAUAUGUUGGUUGGGGAAGGAUAUGUGUACAUGUGUGCAGAUGCCCACAGACACCAGAGGCAUCAAAUGUCCCUGUAGCUGAAGUUAUAGGCAGUUGUGAGCCACCUAACAGGGGUUCUGGGAAUCAAAUUCAGGUCCUCUGGAAGAGCAAUAAAUACUCCGAAUUGCUGAGCCAUCUUUGCAGCAUUUUUUGUUUUUAAGACAUGCUCCAGCUAAGCUGGCCAGGCAGGCCUCUUGAACCUGUGAUCUUCCUGCCUCCGUCUCCUGAGUAGCUAGAAUUAUAGACAUGUGCCAUCGUGCCUGGCUGUGUGAACAUUCUUUAUGAAGAGAAUUCUAUGUGACUUGUUGCUUUAAACCAGUCCCAGAGAACAAUGACAGACUCUGGAGAAUAUGUGGGGAGUUUGAAAAUCCCAGAGUUGGCUUUUGUGUAUGACUGUCAGUGCCAUUCAGUCUCCGCCUUCCUAAACCUGGGAGGGGUGAUGGCAACAGCUCACUUUCCUAGUGUAUGAGCUCCGAGCCUUUCCUUUCUUCUGCAUGCCUUAACUCAUACAGUAGCUGGUGAUAUUCUCUGAAUAAUUAAGAAAGAAGUUCUAUGAGUUAAGAUACUCGGUGUCAGAGGUGGCUUCAGGGAUUUGAACUUUCAUGUAGGACACUAUAUUCUGCAUUAAGACACACAAGCACAUGCCUGGAGCAGUUUCCUACAUACACGUGUGUCUAAUGCCUUUCUGUCAUUCCUGUCAUUUUGUAAAUGUCAGUCAUGCCUAUCACUUACAAAUACUGCUGGAGUGGCCAUGGCUCAGGGACAUUCAUACAGCUCUCUCACAUGUCCUUAACAGCACCUAGACAGCCAAGGAGAAAAGUCACCAAGACGCCCCACUGUAAAUUUGUGGACUUCUGGUGGCCCACUAGUAGGCAAGUGGUGUCAUCUCUCAUGACCUAGUUUACUUAAAGGGAUAUGAAAUUUUAGACAUGGAACAAGACAUCACAUGUGGGAGGGAUAAAGGAAACAGUAUUUUCUUUAUCCUCCCUGGAUCCUUCCUUUUUCCUGACUGAGGGUAGAAAACUAAGAUGCAGCACCAAGUACUGCUGGAGAGGCUGGGCUGGACGCGAGGUGAUGGAGACUCCUGCUGAGGACAGUAGUCAGACUCCCAGCUCAGAGAGGAAAGUGGAGAGGCCUGCUGUGAAGUCCUCAGAGAAAGGAAAGGGUACAAGGCACAGUAAUCAAGGCUUCAUGAGAAGAGGACUGGCUUCAUUUUUUCAUUUGUUUAUUUGCUUGCUUGGUUGGUUGGUCGUUCAGCCAGUCGGUGGGUGGGUGGGGGCUUGGCGGUGAGUGAGUGGAUUGGUUGGUUGGUUAGUUUGUGGAUGGGUGGGUUGGUUGGUCGAUUGGUCAGUUGGUGGGUUGGUUUGGUUUUGUUUCCCAGGAAUGCUGUUGUUGCUGUUUCCCAUAUUUUUCCAAGAGCAUAGCCACUUGUACACAGAGUAUCUUACUGUUGCAUCGUGAGACUGCUUCAAAAUCUGUUUCCCAUUUUCUGAUGUGAAUGUGAAUAACCUUGAUCUUCUCGUCACAUUAAACCUGGGGCCUUGUUACCAUGGUGAUAACCAUGCUUCCCAGUCUGCUACUGGAGGAAGAAGAUGAAGUGUUAAGCUUCCUCCAUCAGCCCCUAGUCCUCAGGACCCUAUCUGGGUAGCUGGGUGGCACUGUGGCUGUGCUCCCUUUACAUACCAUGCAGCUGUGGAGUAGAUCAUGUGACUCUUAGGAAGCUCUACUGCUCGACCAUCUUACAAAGUCAAAGCACCAAGGACUGUGCCAGGGAACUGACCUGUGUGUUCAGCUGCCACCGAGUCUCCGAUCCCUGGGCCUCACUUGGGCCUUGGAGCUUGUCCUACUUUACACCAAGGAACAGCACUGCAUGUGGAAAAGCCAUGGCCCAGUGUCAAAAGGCCUGACUUGUGCAUAUUACCUCUGCCUCUAAUGUGUUUAUUUACACAACACACCUAUUGAUGCGUACUGUGUGAAAGGUCUUGUAAGUACCUCCAGGAAUUCAGUCAAGUAGACCUUUUAUUGUAGGUAAAAAAAGGAUGAAAAAGAGAAAGGAUGAAAGUACCUGUUAGGAGUCAGACACACUGUAAGGGGACCCUAGGAUGCAUAGGUUGUACCUGCUUCCGUGGACAGGCCAUCAGAGUGGAUUUCAUGGCAGAGGUGAUUCUGAGCUAAAAUGAGCUGAAAGCUAUGUGAGCAUCUACCCAUGAGAGAAGAUGGGAGAAAAGCACUCCCUGAGGGAGGCCAGUUGGCAUUUUACACACACAAGGUAAGUGUCAUCACUGUGACUCCAGUGGACAAGACAAAGCUUAAGUGGCCAUAGGCAGAGGAGAUAAAACAUUAGUUCAGAAUAACAAAGCACUGACUCCUGUGAGCACUCAACUAGAAGUGUUUGCAAUGGACUCACGCCAUCCAGUGGUCCAGUACAAUGGGAUCCAGUACAGCAGUGUCAGCUAUCAGAUCCCAGAGAGCAAAGACAGCGGCAACACAGAGCACUCAGCACAAACAGACUCUGCAGCUCCUGAGGGCGAUGAGACCCCAAAGAAGUGAGACACCGUGACCAACACAACUCUUAUAAGAGAAAUCGCUCACUACAGUUUUAUAGUGGUAGUCCAUGGUCAUUAGUGGGAACUGGACAGGCAAGAUGCAAGAGCAGUCAACUGAGAGCUUUAUACCCUGAUCUGUUGGCAGCAGGCAGAGACAGACAGACAGACAGACAGACAGAUAUAUACUGACUGAGUCUGAGCCAGGUGUCACACACCUCCUUCCCAAAGGCCACACUACUCAAAGAAGACCAUGCCUCCUAAUCCUUCUGCAGCAGUGUCACUAACUGGUGACUGCGCAUUCUAACAUAUGAGCCUAUGGAGAGCAUUCUCAUUCAAAUGAUCACACUCUGCUCCCAG